GAUGAACGCUGGCGGCGUGCCUAAUACAUGCAAGUCGAGCGAACGGACGAGAAGCUUGCUUCUCUGAUGUUAGCGGCGGACGGGUGAGUAACACGUGGAUAACCUACCUAUAAGACUGGGAUAACUUCGGGAAACCGGAGCUAAUACCGGAUAAUAUUUUGAACCGCAUGGUUCAAAAGUGAAAGACGGUCUUGCUGUCACUUAUAGAUGGAUCCGCGCUGCAUUAGCUAGUUGGUAAGGUAACGGCUUACCAAGGCAACGAUGCAUAGCCGACCUGAGAGGGUGAUCGGCCACACUGGAACUGAGACACGGUCCAGACUCCUACGGGAGGCAGCAGUAGGGAAUCUUCCGCAGUGGGCGAAAGCCUUACGGAGCAACGCCGCGUGAGUGAUGAAGGUCUUCGGAUCGUAAAACUCUGUUAUUAGGGAAGAACAUAUGUGUAAGUAACUGUGCACAGCUUGACGGUACCUAAUCAGAAAGCCACGGCUAACUACGUG
rnacentral:rRNA from 1 species